UCUUCUUUCUCUACAACUCUGCCCCUUUCUCUCUCAAGACUUCUCCUCUCUUCUCUAGUUCUUGCUCUCUAUAUCUCAGAUCUCACUCACCUCAGGGCUCAGUAUCUCAUCCCUCACUCUCUAAUCUCUAUGUCUCUCAUCUUCUCCGGUCUCCGCCGCUCAGAGCCUCAAACUCCGCCUCUCGCCUUUUACAACGUAGAUCUGGGAGAUGGGCUUAGACUCAUCAACUUCUCCAGUGACCAAUAGUUUGCUAUUCUCCUUCGAGAGUCUCCGGCUCUCAGUCGUCUCUCACUCUCAAGUCUUGCCUCCGGUGAGUCCCCUUUGACCUCUGGCUCUCUACAGAUCCGGGAGAUCUCCAUUGAGGCUUCGAGUUCCUAGACAUCUCUAGGAGAAAAAAAGGGUUCCAAUCAACAAGUUGCUACUCUUCUUGAAUUUAUGACAAUAGUCCAGACUUCAUUAAUUGUUCAUAGUCCAGACUUCAUUAAUUCCAGAUCAUCCUACAAAGGGGGUUCAUACAAACGAGUAGGAGAUCACUGGAUCAAUUUUGCAUAGGGGAGCAAUAGCUUUUUUCCUUAAUUUUAUUUCGCUAUGCUUUGUUUAGUUUUUUCUUUUUUGGUGAUUGUAAAAUUGUAAUUAACUAGAUAAGGUAUUUUGCCCUUCUGUGUUGUCAUGUAAAAUAUUGUAUUUUUUAUUGUUUUGCAUAUUUUAAUUUUUUUUAGAUUGGAUUUUCAAUUUUAGGUUUGCUUCCAGAAUUUUAUUGCUAAAGAUGUAAAAUUUCACA